rnacentral:rRNA from 1 species
UGGGGAAUUUUGGACAAUGGGCGCAAGCCUGAUCCAGCCAUGCCGCGUGCGGGAAGAAGGCCUUCGGGUUGUAAACCGCUUUUGUCAGGGAAGAAAUCUUCUGAGUUAAUACCUCGGGAGGAUGACGGUACCUGAAGAAUAAGCACCGGCUAACUACGUGCCAGCAGCCGCAGUAAUACGUAGGGUGCAAGCGUUAAUCGGAAUUACUGGGCGUAAAGCGUGCGCAGGCGGUUUUGUAAGACAGAGGUGAAAUCCCCGGGCUCAACCUGGGAACUGCCUUUGUGACUGCAAGGCUUGAGUGCGGCAGAGGGGGAUGGAAUUCCGCGUGUAGCAGUGAAAUGCGUAGAUAUGCGGAGGAACACCGAUGGCGAAGGCAAUCCCCUGGGCCUGCACUGACGCUCAUGCACGAAAGCGUGGGGAGCAAACAGGAUUAGAUACCCCUGGUAGUCCACGCCCUAAACGAUGUCAACUGGUUGUUGGGAAGGUUCCUUCUCAGUAACGUAGCUAACGCGUGAAGUUGACCGCCUGGGGAGUACGGCCGCAAGGUUGAAACUUAAAUGAAUUGACGGGGU